rnacentral:rRNA from 1 species
AGAGUUUGAUCAUGGCUCAGAACGAACGCUGGCGGCGUGCUUAACACAUGCAAGUCGAACGCGAAAGUUUUCUUCGGAAAGCGAGUAGAGUGGCGCACGGGUGAGUAACGCGUAAAUAAUCUACCCUUGCAUCUGGGAUAACCCACCGAAAGGUGUGCUAAUACCGGAUACGUUCUUUUAACCGCGAGGUUUUAAGAAGAAAGGUGGCCUCUGAUAUAAGCUACUGUGCAGGGAGGAGUUUGCGUACCAUUAGCUAGUUGGUAGGGUAACGGCCUACCAAGGCAACGAUGGUUAGCGGGUCUGAGAGGAUGAUCCGCCACACUGGAACUGGAACACGGACCAGACUCCUACGGGAGGCAGCAGUGAGGAAUAUUGCGCAAUGGGGGCAACCCUGACGCAGCGACGCCGCGUGGAUGAUGAAGGCCUUCGGGUCGUAAAAUCCUGUCAGAUGGAAAGAAGUGCAUAAGUAUUAAUACUACUUAUGUUUGACGGUACCAUCAAAGGAAGCACCGGCUAACUCCGUGCCAGCAGCCGCGGUAAUACGGAGGGUGCAAGCGUUGUUCGGAAUUACUGGGCGUAAAGCGCGCGUAGGUGGUCUGUUAUGUCAGAUGUGAAAGUCCACGGCUCAA